CUGCCGGGCCCCUGUAACUGCCAUGUGCUAACCCCGUCAGGUCUGGAAAGAAGCAGCGGUCCGCGAAAUGGCAGCGGCAGGAUCUUCCGGCAGUCC
rnacentral:SRP_RNA from 1 species